UAAUACGGAGGGUGCAAGCGUUGUCCGGAAUCAUUGGGUGUAAAGGGUGCGUAGGCGGGUUUUUAAGUCUGGGGUGAAAGGCUGCGGCUCAACCGUAGGAUUGCCUUGGACACUGGAGACCUUGAGUGUAACAGAGGCCGGUAGAAUUCGUGGUGUAGCGGUGAAAUGCAUAGAUAUCACGAAGAAUGCCAGUGGCGUAGGCGGCCGGCUGGGUUACAACUGACGCUGAGGCACGAGAGCGUGGGGAGCAAACAGGAUUAGAUACCCUGGUAGUCCACGCCGUAAACGAUGUAUACUAGGUGUUGGGCGGGCUUAGGUCCGUUCAGUGCUGCAGCUAACGCAUUAAGUAUACCACCUGGGGAGUACGUUCGCAAGAAUG
rnacentral:rRNA from 1 species